UGAGUCAAUUCAAUAAACUCAUUCUCUAAUAAGUACUCACAUCCUUAUAUUAGUAUCUCACACAAGUAGCCUAUGAAAUUAGCCACCCUCUCCAUCAAGCAUAUGUAGGAUGUGCUAGUCUAUCCGGAAUAUUGAUCUCUGAUUCAGUAUUUCUAUGACUUAGAAUAUUUAAGAUUAGAAUUUUAAGAUUUUAGAUUUUAUGGGCAUG
rnacentral:lncRNA from 1 species